AAAAAAACUUACAAGCAAAUAAACCCUGAGGCUAGAAUCCAGCAGCCAUAGGAGGAAGAAAGAACCCAGAGGAUUGCUUCCUAUGCUCUUGUGAUGGUGGAGAAGGAUUGCAGGAGACAGUGAAGAUACUGGUGGACCUCCUUGAAGGUCAUGUCUGACAUUGGAUGGAAUGUCUGAGAGGUGUUACUGGUGAGAGCAGAACCUGCUGAGCAAAGGAGAGAAUAUGAAAACCUGGCUUAAAGGUUAAAAGAUUACUUAAUUGUUUUUUGUUGGUUUUGUUUGUUUGUGUGUGUGUUUCAUUUUAUUUUAGCUUUAGUUUUCAUGUUAGAGUGUAUGCAAGAGUUAGAGCUACAGAGGUUUCUUCUUAUUUUGUGCCAUUCCAAGGCAGCUAGCUGAGGGCUCAGCAAUCCUCAUUUUUAAGAUCCUUGCUAUUUCCAGAGAAUUCUGAGAUGAGUGACGAAAAUCCCUAAAACCAGCUGCUCCUGGCCCACGCCUUUCGGUUUCCUGCAAGGAGAAGCUGAUUCAGACACAGAUGAGAUAGGGAACUGCUAGACAGCAUGGCAGAUAACAAUGGUGUCUUAAAUGUAGUGUGUAGUUGUUGACUUUACAUGUUAGAAUGAAGAAAGAGUUAAUCUUGGGUAAUGUUUGUUAUCUACAUCAGUGUCAUGAAACUAUAGGGGAGAAGUAGGUAAGGCAGAAUGAAGAGCUAUAAGGACAGAUUUUCCUGCUGUUAAGUAAAGGCCCACUUUUUUAAUAGCCAGCCGUGUCAAUGAUGCUAACAUAACUUAUCUGUGAUCUGGUAGUACGCCCAAAUUACAGCAUUGUUGACCCCAUUCCUUGGUAUCAACUUUGCUUGGAGAGGAGAUGAAGUGUCAAGACCUGCUUGUUGUCACAAACUACGAAAGAAGGAUUCAAGAAUGCUUUCAUGUGGAGCUUGUCAAAGUAAGUUUCAUGUGUUGCCCUCAAG